AGUGAACGCUGGCGGUAGGCCUAACACAUGCAAGUCGAACGGCAGCACAGUAAGAGCUUGCUCUUACGGGUGGCGAGUGGCGGACGGGUGAGGAAUACAUCGGAAUCUACUUUUUCGUGGGGGAUAACGUAGGGAAACUUACGCUAAUACCGCAUACGACCUACGGGUGAAAGCAGGGGAUCUUCGGACCUUGCGCGAUUGAAUGAGCCGAUGUCGGAUUAGCUAGUUGGCGGGGUAAAGGCCCACCAAGGCGACGAUCCGUAGCUGGUCUGAGAGGAUGAGCAGCAAACCUGAAAAGGAGCAGCGGACCAGACCCCGCGGGGGGGCAGCAGGGGGGAAUAUGGGACAAUGGGCGAAGGCCUGAUCCAGCCAUCCCGGGGGGGGAAAGAAGGCUUUCGGGUUGUAAAGCCUUUUUGUGGGAAAAAAAAAGCAGGAGGUUAAUACCCCGCUGUUCUGACGGUACCAAAAGAAUAAGCACCGGCUAACUUCGUG
rnacentral:rRNA from 1 species